rnacentral:lncRNA from 1 species
CUUCUUAUUAGAGAGGUCUGCUGCAAGGAUGCUCAGUUAUUUCUUAGAGCAGGAGUCCCCAGAUAGUUUGUGAAGAGGAGCUAAUUUUCCUUUCCUGGAGGCAGUGUGUAAUAAAGUAAAGACAAUGGGCUUUGAAACAAGACUGAGAUUGUGGAAGUCCUAGGUCAACCACUUACCAACUCUUUGACCUUGGGUAGGUUAUUUCAUUUUCCCAUAUCUAAUGCCUCAAAAGGAAAAUGAUACCUAUAUUGGAGAUUAAUUAGGAUGGGGUUAAAUAAGCUAACAUAUGUAAAAUCUAGAACAGAGCUUGUCACACGAUCAGAAAUCAACAAAUGUCAGUUCCUAUCUGCAAAGCAUGGUUGGUUGUGAAGGUUAUAUUCUGAGUGAAAUAUCUCCAUGUGGAUCAAAAAAGGGGGAUUGCUGAUGAUUGCGCUUCCUACAAGGUGAGUUCAAUGGGAAACCAUGGAAAUGAGUUUGGACCCCACUGUGUUGUCCCAGGAGUCAUGGUAGAGAGGAAGAGGAAAUAAUAGUCCCUGUUUUGCUCUUUCUUAGCUACCUGGCUUUGGGCGAAUUGCUUUAUCCAAUAAUUAGUUGCUUCAUCAGGCCGUCAAGACUAAUGGUAUUUUUCCUGCUUAUCUCCCAGGGGUGCAUGGAAAAAACAGGAAUAAAACCAGAGAGGCGAAAACUAAUGUAAGAGUUGUCUUACCAAAACCAGGAUCUAAAGUGUAUGAUAAGCAUCCACCUUGGCUGGGCGAUAGCGUGUAUGAACCCAGAGCCAUCUGAGUUGAUUACGAGACCUUCUAGUAUCUCAUCAGAUAAGGAAAGCAACAGAUAAAUUUAUGUUACAAUGGAACUACUGUUAUUAGUAUUAGUCUACAAUGCCCAUUUCAAAGAAGUAUUCGUAAGCAAAACUGAUGCAACAAAACUGCCCUUUUCCCGAGUAUGAGUGGGCCUUUUAAACCAGAAGGAUGCCCCGAUUCUCAGGUUAAAGAUAUCUGCAGUUGGUGUUUUAGGAAAAGUUAAAGAAUAGGGAGGAAUAUAUCGUCCUCUUGUUUCCAUACCCCCUCUGAUGCUUUACAUGGCUGGUUGGUUGUGCAAUAACACCAACUGAUGCUAAACUUCAUUUGCUGCUUCUGGAGCCUAGCCACUUGGAUCAAUCACAGAAGCAAUUGGAUUGUGUCCUUGGACUGACUGGGGCCAGGGACCGUUUUGAAUGACAACUUUCUAGUUGUGCAGGAACUGUAAAACUUAUCCACAGAAGGCACGGUGGAAGUUACUGUGGUCAGGGCUACGAAGGAUGUUCAGUGCACCUUGAGAACAUCAGGGUUGAGGAAUCCUUUCUGGGUUGUACUAGGGAAGCUAUACAUUAGAUUCCUGCAAUAGCAAUGGCAGGAAUUAGACAGUGCUUGUCUGAUGACAAGAGACUGAUGGUCUGAAAAGUCCACCUCAGCUGGAACUCUAUUUUACCUGACAUAAAUAGCAUCACCAUGGUAACAGGUGUCUUUUACAUUAAAAGUAGGAAAUCUCCUUUUUAAGUGAUAGAUAAUUAGAAUUACUAUCAUUGUCUUAGAAAAAAAACAUAAAAAGAGAAAUAUAUCCUCGAUAGUCUGGAAGAUGGAAG